GACAGAGGGGGCAAGCGUUGCUCGGAAUCACUGGGCGUAAAGGGCGCGUAGGCGGGGUCGCAAGUCGGUCGUGAAAGCCCCGGGCUCAACCCGGGAGAGUCGGCCGAGACUGCGGGUCUUGAGGGGCGCAGAGGAGACUGGAAUUCCCGGUGUAGCGGUGAAAUGUGUAGAGAUCGGGAGGAACACCGGUGGCGAAGGCGGGUCUCUGGGCGCACCCUGACGCUGAGGCGCGAAGGCGUGGGGAGCGAACGGG
rnacentral:rRNA from 1 species